GACGAACGCUGGCGGCGUGCUUAACACAUGCAAGUCGAACGGAAAGGCCCUGCUUUUGUGGUGUGCUAGUGUGGCAAACGGGUGAGUCACACGUGAGUAACGCGCCCUUGACUUUGGGAUAACUUUAGGAAACUGUGGCUUAUUCCGGAUAGGAGCUCCUGCUGCGUGGUGGGGUUGGAAAGAUUCGGCGGUUGGGGAUGGACUCGCGGCUUAUCAGCUUGUUGGUGGGGUAGUGGCUUACCAAGGCUUUGACGGGUAGCCGGCCGGAGAGGGUGACCGGCCAUGUUGGGACUGAGAGACGGCCCAGACUCCUACGGGAAGCAGCAGGGGAGAAUAUAGCACGAUGGGCAGAAGCCUGAUGCAGCGACGCCGCGUGCGUGAUGACGGCCUUCGUGUUGUAAACCGCUUUCGCCUGUGACGAAGCGUGAGUGACGGUAAUGGGUAAAGAAGCACCGGCUAACUACGUG
rnacentral:rRNA from 1 species